rnacentral:rRNA from 1 species
AGCGAACGCUGGCGGCAGGCCUAACACAUGCAAGUCGAACGAACCUUUCGGGGUUAGUGGCGGACGGGUGAGUAACACGUGGGAACGUGCCUUUAGGUUCGGAGUAACUCAGGGAAACUUGUGCUAAUACCGAAUGUGCCCUUCGGGGGAAAGAUUUAUCGCCUUUAGAGCGGCCCGCGUCUGAUUAGCUAGUUGGUUGAGGUAAUGGCUCACCAAGGCGACGAUCAGUAGCUGGUCUGAGAGGAUGAUCAGCCACAUUGGGACUGAGACACGGCCCAAACUCCUACGGGAGGCAGCAGUGGGGAAUCUUGCGCAAUGGGCGAAAGCCUGACGCAGCCAUGCCGCGUGAAUGAUGAAGGUCUUAGGAUUGUAAAAUUCUUUCACCGGGGACGAUAAUGACGGUACCCGGAGAAGAAGCCCCGGCUAACUUCGUG